UAAAAACACUGAUCCGGCUCUGCGCGAUACCCUUUGACCUCAUCGUAGAUUAAAGGGUUCCUGUGCUGAGAGUGACCGCUGACAGCUGAGUGUGACCAUCAUCCUUCAUCCAUUGCCCUCAACCUUCACAGAGCAGUAUCACCACAUCACCUACACACACACAAUCACCACAUCUUCAUCGUUUUCUCAAAUUUCAUUCUACGUAUAAGAUUAUAUUAGGUUGUCUUAGAUUAGUUUAGUUUAGUUUACAUUAGGUGGCUUAGGUUUAGGUCAGUUUGACAAGCAUUUCUCUUGUUGUUUUCUCUUGUUUUUAACUUCUAUCAGCAGGAUGCCAAGAAGCCGAGGCGGUCUGUGGUGUUGAAGCAGCGCUGGAGGAAGCUCAACCUGGAGGAGCUGAGGUCUUUCCCCACCCCCCCGGAGACGGUGUCCCCCCCGGCUGGAGAGGAGCCUUCCAGAGGGUCAAGGACCAAGAGGACCAGGGAGACGCACCCCCCCCUCCUCCCAAGCUCCAGUCGGCGACACAGUUGGAUCUUCACCCCCAGCCAAGCCUUUCUGGAGCCUGGAUGAUGUGCAAGUUCGUGCACAUAAGCCGCGGUACCGGUUACCGCCAUCCGGUGGAGACGUGGCCAACUUCGAAGUUCUAAGUCUCCUGACAAGCAGUUUGUUCUGAUUGUCGGGGACUCCCAUCUCCGGGCCUUCGUGGACCGUUUCACCGAGAUGCCAGAAGGGAAGUUUUUCUUUUGGUAUCAUGUCAACCCCUGGGGCCCAUGCUGCUCAGCUGCGCACUGAGGUCCUACAUGCCAAGGUUCCUCAAGACCCUGAUGCUGUUUGUGUUCUUGCUCCUAGCAACAACCUGACAGCGAGCAGGACCGUCGACGAGGCAGCCGUUGACUACGCCCGAUUCCUCACUGCUGUGAGGAGCCGCUGGUCGGAGGUCUUUGUGGUGGACUUCCCCCCCCUCCGCCUGAACGAGAAUGAGGAGCACCAGAGGGCCCUACGCCACGCGUACCAUCGUGUGACAGCUCGCAUGGGUUUGAGGUACUUCUCUGCAGAGGAGUACUUCCCCCGUACGCGCUUGGAUCUGUGGAGCAGAGACGGCAUAAGU